AGUUCCUUCCGGUUUUUUUCUUUCUGUUCAUUAACCUCUUCUCUUCUUCUCCACUUUUCAGUCCCAUUCCCAUACUUUCUAAUCUUCUUUGUGCAGAGCAUCAUAAGUGCCUUAAUAUAUCUCCAGCAGCCAGCAGUUGUGGCCUUCCUCAGUCGUUUCUCGGUUCAGGCAGUCUUAUUCACUCUCAAGGUUAUGAAAUCACCAGAGACUAUUCAUGAAAAUUUAUUUUGAAUCAUCAAUGCUUUUGUUUAUCCUUCAGUAUUUUGAUAAAGGGAGUUUGGUUGUCCUAAGCCCAACUGAAGCUCUUGGUGGAAGACACUGUCAAUGUUGCGAAAGAAAAACCGUGCGCCAAGUCUUUGAUAUGAAAUUGCUUCGCCCAAGGCGAAUUAGGGUACGGAACCAAGUAAUGGGGCGGCUAUGUGUACUGUCUGCAGUACAUCUUUACUAUAUUUGAUUCAUUUCAAUUGUACUACAUUUCCGACUUUAUUUUAUGAAAUAUUUAGUUAUAUAUUCA